GAUAAACGCUGGCGGCGCACAUAAGACAUGCAAGUCGAACGGACUUAACUCAUUCUUUACGAUUGAGAGCGGUUAGUGGCGGACUGGUGAGUAACACGUAAGCAAUCUGCCUAUCAGAGGGGAAUAACAGUGAGAAAUCAUUGCUAAUACCGCAUAUGCUAACAGUAUCGCAUGAUACAGUUAGGAAAGGAGCAAUCCGCUGAUAGAUGAGCUUGCGCCUGAUUAGAUAGUUGGUGGGGUAAUGGCCUACCAAGUCGACGAUCAGUAGCCGGACUGAGAGGUUGAUCGGCCACAUUGGGGCUGAGACACGGCCCAAACUCCUACGGGAGGCAGCAGUGGGGAAUAUUGGGCAAUGGGGGGAACCCUGACCCAGCAACGCCGCGUGGAGGAAGAAGGUUUUCGGAUCGUAAACUCCUGUCCUCAGGGAAGAGCAGAAGACGGUACCUGAGGAGGAAGCCCCGGCUAACUACGUGCCAGCAGCCG
rnacentral:rRNA from 1 species